UACGGGGGGGGCAAGCGUUGUUCGGAAUUACUGGGCGUAAAGGGCUCGUAGGUGGCCAACUAAGUCAGACGUGAAAUCCCUCGGCUUAACCGGGGAACUGCGUCUGAUACUGGAUGGCUUGAGUUCGGGAGAGGGAUGCGGAAUUCCAGGUGUAGCGGUGAAAUGCGUAGAUAUCUGGAGGAACACCGGUGGCGAAGGCGGCAUCCUGGACCGACACUGACACUGAUGCGCGACAGCAUGGGGAGCAAACAGG
rnacentral:rRNA from 1 species